GAUUCUGGCUCAGGAUGAACGCUAGCGACAGGCUUAACACAUGCAAGUCGAGGGGCAGCAUAGAAGUAGCAAUACUUGGUGGCGACCGGCGCACGGGUGAGUAACGCGUAUGCAACCUACCUAUCAGACGGGGAAUAACCCGGCGAAAGUCGGACUAAUACCGCAUAAAACAGGGGCACCGCAUGGUGAUAUUUGUUAAAGAAAUUCGCUGAUAGAUGGGCAUGCGUUCCAUUAGGUAGUUGGUGAGGUAACGGCUCACCAAGCCGACGAUGGAUAGGGGAACUGAGAGGUUGGUCCCCCACACUGGUACUGAGACACGGACCAGACUCCUACGGGAGGCAGCAGUGAGGAAUAUUGGUCAAUGGGCGGGAGCCUGAACCAGCCAAGUCGCCGUGAAGGAAGAAGGAUCUAUGGUUCGUAAACUUCUUUUGCAGGGGAAUAAAGUGCAGGACGUGUCCUGUUUUGUAUGUACCCUGAGAAUAAGGAUCGGCUAACUCCGUGCCAGCCGCGGC
rnacentral:rRNA from 1 species